CACGCCCUAAACGAUGUCAACUAGUUGUCGGGGAUUCAUUUCCUUGGUAACGCAGCUAACGCGUGAAGUUGACCGCCUGGGGAGUACGGCCGCAAGGUUAAAACUCAAAGGAAUUGACGG
rnacentral:rRNA from 1 species